UACGGGGGGGGCAAGCGUUGUUCGGAAUCAUUGGGCGUAAAGGGCGCGUAGGCGGCCGUCCAAGUCGGGUGUGAAAUCCCUCGGCUCAACCGAGGAACUGCACUCGAUACUGGUCGGCUAGAGUCCGGGAGGGGAUGGUGGAAUUCCCAGUGUAGCGGUGAAAUGCGUAGAUAUUGGGAAGAACACCGGUGGCGAAGGCGGCCAUCUGGACCGGAACUGACGCUGAGGCGCGAAAGCCAGGGGAGCGAAUGGG
rnacentral:rRNA from 1 species